rnacentral:rRNA from 1 species
AAUGGGACGUACGCUCUACACCCUUUGUGACAUACCUAUAACUGUUGCUUCGGCGGGCAGGGUCUCCGUGACCCUCCCGGCCUCCCGCCCCCGGGCGGGUCGGCGCCCGCCGGAGGAUAACCAAACUCUGAUUUAACGACGUUUCUUCUGAGUGGUACAAGCAAAUAAUCAAAACUUUUAACAACGGAUCUCUUGGUUCUGGCAUCGAUGAAGAACGCAGCGAAAUGCGAUAAGUAAUGUGAAUUGCAGAAUUCAGUGAAUCAUCGAAUCUUUGAACGCACAUUGCGCCCGCCAGCAUUCUGGCGGGCAUGCCUGUUCGAGCGUCAUUUCAACCCUCAAGCUCUGCUUGGUGUUGGGGCCCUACAGCUGAUGUAGGCCCUCAAAGGUAGUGGCGGACCCUCCCGGAGCCUCCUUUGCGUAGUAACUUUACGUCUCGCACUGGGAUCCGGAGGGACUCUUGCCGUAAAACCCCCAAUUUUCCAAAGGUUGACCUCGGAUCAGGUAGGAAUACCCGCUGAACUUAAGCAUAUCAAUAGGCCGGAGGAA